CUCGCCUGCAUGAAGUCGGAAUUGCUAGUAAUCGCAGAUCAGCAUGCUGCGGUGAAUACGUUCCCGGGCCUUGUACACACCCGCCCGUCACACCAUGGGAGUCGGUAACACCCGAAGUCGGUAGCCUAACCGUAAGGAGGGCGCCGCCGAAGGUGGGAUUGAUGAUGGGGUGAAGUCGUAACAAGGUACC
rnacentral:rRNA from 1 species